GGAGAGGUGGCAGAGUGGUCGAAUGUAUCUGACUCGAAAUCAGACGUACGUGUAAGCGUACCGUGGGUUCGAAUCCCACCCUCUCCG
rnacentral:tRNA from 1 species